CACGUAGGCACCAAGCGUUGUCCGGAUUUAUUGGGCGUAAAGAGCUCGUAGGCGGUUCAGUAAGUCGGGUGUGAAAACUUUGGGCUUAACCCAAAGCGUGCAUCCGAUACUGCUGUGGCUUGAGUUCGGUAGGGGAGUGGGGAAUUCCUAGUGUAGCGGUGAAAUGCGCAGAUAUUAGGAGGAACACCGGUGGCGAAGGCGCCACUCUGGGCCGAAACUGACGCUGAGGAGCGAAAGCAUGGGUAGCAAACAGG
rnacentral:rRNA from 1 species